GAUUAGCCUGCGUCCGAUUAGCUAGUUGGUGAGGUAAGGGCUCACCAAGGCGACGAUCGGUAGCUGGUCUGAGAGGAUGGCCAGCCACACUGGAACUGAGACACGGUCCAGACUCCUACGGGAGGCAGCAGUGGGGAAUAUUGGACAAUGGGGGGAACCCUGAUCCAGCAAUGCCGCGUGUGUGAAGAAGGCCUGAGGGUUGUAAAGCACUUUCAGUGGGGAGGAGGGUUGACUGGUUAAGAGCUGAUUAAUUGGACGUUACCCACAGAAGAAGCACCGGCUAACUCCGUGCCAGCAGCCGCGGUAAUACGGAGGGUGCGAGCGUUAAUCGGAAUUACUGGGCGUAAAGGGUGCGUAGGUGGUUUGAUAAGUUAUCUGUAAAAGCCCUGGGCUCAACCUGGGAAGGCCAGAUAAAACUGUUGGACUGGAGUAUAGGAGAGGGUAGUGGAAUUUCCGGUGUAGCGGUGAAAUGCGUAGAGAUCGGAAGGAACACCAGUGGCGAAGGCGGCUACCUGGCCUGAUACUGACACUGAAGCACGAAAGCGUGGGGAGCAAACAGGAUUAGAUACCCUGGUAGUCCACGCUGUAAACGAUGUCAACUAGCUGUUGG
rnacentral:rRNA from 2 species